rnacentral:lncRNA from 1 species
GGGGAGCGGAGACACCUCCCGAGGCUCCUCCGCGUUGGACCCUAUUUGCGAGGGCGGGAGCGGGGUGGGCCGACGGCGAAGCUCCAGAGGUGGGACCCUCUCCCUUCAGCAGCUCUUCCUGACUUCAUGAUUCUGCCCCUCUUCUCAUUGCAGGCGCUGCAGCUGUGCAGCUGCUCUACAGACUGCAGGGACCUGCUGAGACGAAUCCCCGGACGAGGAAAGGGGCCCCCCGCCUGCCCUACUGAGCCUUGCGCGCUGACCCGGUUCCUACACUUAACUUUUCC